rnacentral:rRNA from 1 species
AAUCGACACAGGUAGGCGAGAAGAGAAUUCUAAGGCUCGCGGUAGAACUCUCGUUACGGAACUCGGCAAAAUGACACCAUAACUUCGGGAGAAGGGGUGGCUCGGUAGGGUGAAUAGCCCGAGAGGGCCGCAGUGAAAAGGCCCAAGCGACUGUUUAGCUCAAACACAGGUCUGUGCGAAGCCGCAAGGCGAAGUAUACGGGCUGACGCCUGCCCGGUGCUGGAAGGUUAAGGGGAGUGGUAAGCCUUCGGGCGAAGCUAUGAACCGAAGUCCCAGUAAACGGCGGCCGUAACUAUAACGGUCCUAAG